rnacentral:rRNA from 1 species
GUGGGGAAUAUUGCACAAUGGGGGAAACCCUGAUGCAGCGACGCCGCGUGAAGGAAGAAGUAUCUCGGUAUGUAAACUUCUAUCAGCAGGGAAGAAAAUGACGGUACCUGACUAAGAAGCCCCGGCUAACUACGUGCCAGCAGCCGCGGUAAUACGUAGGGGGCAAGCGUUAUCCGGAUUUACUGGGUGUAAAGGGAGCGUAGACGGAGCAGCAAGUCUGAUGUGAAAGGCGGGGGCUCAACCCCCGGACUGCAUUGGAAACUGUUGAUCUUGAGUACCGGAGAGGUAAGCGGAAUUCCUAGUGUAGCGGUGAAAUGCGUAGAUAUUAGGAGGAACACCAGUGGCGAAGGCGGCUUACUGGACGGUAACUGACGUUGAGGCUCGAAAGCGUGGGGAGCAAACAGG